rnacentral:rRNA from 1 species
ACACGAAGUGAGUGGCGAACGGGUGAGUAACACGUGGGUAACCUGCCCAGAAGUAGGGGAUAACACCUGGAAACAGAUGCUAAUACCGUAUAACAGAGAAAACCGCAUGGUUUUCUUUUAAAAGAUGGCUCUGCUAUCACUUCUGGAUGGACCCGCGGCGUAUUAGCUAGUUGGUGAGGUAAAGGCUCACCAAGGCAGUGAUACGUAGCCGACCUGAGAGGGUAAUCGGCCACAUUGGGACUGAGACACGGCCCAGACUCCUACGGGAGGCAGCAGUAGGGAAUCUUCCACAAUGGACGCAAGUCUGAUGGAGCAACGCCGCGUGAGUGAAGAAGGGUUUCGGCUCGUAAAGCUCUGUUGU